rnacentral:rRNA from 1 species
AUUGAACGCUGGCGGCAGGCCUAACACAUGCAAGUCGAGCGGCGCGGCUGUCGGGUUAGUAAUUCCUAGGAAUCUGCCUGUUAGUGUGGGAUCACGUCCGUUAACGGGCGCUUAUACCGCAUCCUAUCCGUUGAGCCUAGGUAUGCUUCUCUUGGUGGUGGGGUAAAGGCCUACCAAGGCGACGAUCCGUAACUGUUCUGAGAGGAUGAUCAGUCACACGGGAACUUGGACACGGUCCAGACUCCUACGGGAGGCAGCAAUGGGGAAUAUUGGACAAUGGUCGAGAGCCUGAUCCGGCCAUGCCGCGUGUGUGAAGAAGGUCUUCGGAUUGUAAAGCACUUUAGGUUGGGAGGGGUGAGCAAAAGAAUAAGCAGCGGCUAACUUCGUGCCAGCAGCCGCGGUAAUAG